ensembl:lncRNA
CCCCGUCUUGCAGGCCAAAGAGAGGGAUGUGGAAAUGUAUCCUCGUCUCCUUUCUACCUUUCAACCCGCCUUUUUUUCUUUCUUUUUUUUUUGUCGUCGCCACCAUGGCCUUAUUGUCUGCGGGUGAACACUCGCCUGAUCUUAACAAAAAACUCAGUUCAACCAGCAAGCCUCCACUGCUACCUGCACAACUAUCUGUCCUUAAGGCUGAGGAAACAGGUUAAUCUUCCAUGAUGCCGAAGGCGGUACGUGCAAGGGAAGCUCUGUGGAUAAAAAGAACACAAAGACUGAGUAAAUACCACAUGAAACAAAGAACUUAACCCACAGCUGUUGAGAUGAAACUGCAGACACAACAAAGACUCUACAGUUUUACAAGAUGCAACAGUGGAACUGGUCUACUGUGACAUGUUCUGAAGUUGGUACACAACGACCAAAGUCUUGCUUUGAAGGUUGUAAAUUUGUGCUCGAAGUUGAGCCUAGCAAGGUGAGGUAGUAGGUUGUAUAGUUUGUGGGAUGGAGUAAAUCCUAUUCAGGUGAUAACUAUACAGUCUAUUACCUUCCUUGAGAGGUACAAUGAGUGCUUGGGAUGAAGCUCACUCAGUGAUGAGAGGGACGACAGAGACACUCUGAUGCCAUCUUGUGGCUGAAGACAAACAUCACUUUGGAAAUGAUUUGUGUACCUUUGUUUUCUAUGAACAAUUUAUGAAGGACUGAUGACAAUACUGAAAAUUAAAGUUCAUUCACUACUGUUUUGACAAUUUAGAAUUGAAGACAUAAUCUGAUACAUGAUUCAAAACCAUAAUUUUAUCAUUCUACAGUCAAAUUAGAGGACUGCCAUUAGACUGAUGGUAAAUUAGUUUGAUAAUCCUGACAAAAGAGCAACAGUUUAAGACUUGCAUAUCCAGAAAUAGGAAAUGAGAGCGUUUUAGGCAUUUGAAAGUAGAAUUCGGUGUCACAUCCUAUUUAGAUGCAGACUGCAAAGAGAGUUGUUCUGAAGUUUACCAGCUUUGGGUAAAUGAAAUAAAUUGAUUUAGAACACAUUUUGGUCGUCAGUGCUGGUUUGUAAAUGACAAUAAACUACACUGCCUGUCCAGAAACAAAGUCGCCACCUGGACUUAACUAAACAAAUAGAUAAG